GACGAACGCUGGCGGCGUGCCUAAUACAUGCAAGUAGAACGCUGAAGGAGGAGCUUGCUCUUCUGGAUGAGUUGCGAACGGGUGAGUAACGCGUAGGUAACCUGCCUGGUAGCGGGGGAUAACUAUUGGAAACGAUAGCUAAUACCGCAUAACAGUAGAUGUUGCAUGACAUUUGCUUAAAAGGUGCAAUUGCAUCACUACCAGAUGGACCUGCGUUGUAUUAGCUAGUUGGUGGGGUAACGGCUCACCAAGGCGACGAUACAUAGCCGACCUGCGAGGGUGGUCGGCCACACUGGGACUGAGACACGGCCCAGACGCCUACGGGAGGCAGCAGUAGGGAAUCUUCGGCCAUGGACGGAAGUCUGACCGAGCAACGCCGCGUGAGUGAAGAAGGUUUUCGGAUCGUAAAGCUCUGUUGUAAGAGAAGAACGAGUGUGAGAGUGGAAAGUUCACACUGUGACGGUAUCUUACCAGAAAGGGACGGCUAACUACGUG
rnacentral:rRNA from 1 species